rnacentral:lncRNA from 1 species
AGAAGAGGCGACGAGCUGCCGGCGAUCAACGGCCGAUCAGGCGAUCUCCGCAGGUGGUGGGAGGUUGAGAUCCAGAUCGAAAGGCAGCAUCUUGGGCGGCGGGGAAGAGGGGUGAUGGGGGUGCAAAUCGACAACGGACGAGGAAUCCGAGUCGCUCUGGACGCCGCCGGCGAGAGGGGUCUGGAAAUCGGCCAGGAUCAUCGGGGUGCCCAGCGUCAGGUGGUGUUGGUUCGCCUUGUCCGAUCUAACAAAGGUGUCGAAAAAGAAGUAGGGGUGCGCCACGCCGGCAGCGGAGGCGGCGGUCGCGAAGGGCUGGAAGGGGAACCGCGCGCCGCGGCGGAGGAGGUCAAGAUCGAGGGAAGGAAGAAGGGGCUGGGCCAUCGGUGGUACGGCGGCCUCCCGGCUGGAGGACUCGACGGUGCUGCUCUGGCUGCUCGGGCUCCCGGCUGCUCCACCGCCUCCGCCGCCGCUGGGGCUCUGGUAGGCGUCCGGGUAGGGAAAGUUCGUCUUCGCCUUGGAUCCGCGGAAUUCCCGGGCGGCGGCGUCGUACGCCCUGGCGGCCUCCUCCGCGGUGUCGAAAGUCCCCAGCCACACCCGGCUCUUCUUCCCGGGAUCCCGUAUCUCCGCCGCG